GCCUGCUUUCACUCUAGCCUUGCACACAUUUCAUUUCACAUUCUUUUAACAUGCAUGACUGUUUGACAUAGGAGCCAAAAGUGGAGGAAGAUUGAUACUCUUAAUAAAACUUAAUGCAGACAAACCAAACUGCAUUCAUAUAAUGAAGACGAUAUGUAAGGAAAGUGCUGAUGAGUCAAUUCGAAAGCUGAUGCUGAAUUCUCACAAGUCAACGGAUCUUCAUGAGGUAAGGGGUACUAAACUCAACAUGCUGACUUAGAAAGCAUUAUAUUAUUUGAUAAUAUUGUCUUGAAUGAGAGUUUGGAUGAUCAUGGCCAGCUUAUACUCCAUUUGAUUUCAAAUAAUUGGUCUUGGUUGAUCCAUUUCCAUGUAUUUAACGUGUCUAGAAAAUUCAAUUGUGAAGUAGCAAGAUUCAAUGGGGAGGAGGAUUCCAUAAAUGGAACUAGGAUAAUGUUACUGUUAGUGCCAGUAACGUGUGAUAAUUUUCUCUUGAAUGGGUUGUAAAUAUCGGCCGGGUCGGGGCCUUGUGUGUUUGUGCUUCAACCAAGUCAAUUAUUUGAAACUAGUUAUUGACUGGGCUACAUGGUUUCGAUCGAGCAUGAUGAGCCACUGGAGAUAUGAAAGUGAAGACACAAAUGGAGAAAAAGCUCAGGCUGGGAAACUAUCAACGUGUAGCCCGUCAUUACAUGGGAUAUAAGAUGGCCAUUUUUUUAUUUUUUAUUUAUUUUCCUGGCAUGGUUUUAGCAAUGAUAACUUGGAAACUUGAUAGCUAGCAUGUUUUCACGGUCUAUAGAUGGUUUAAUUCUGUGUCAUGAUUGAGUAUUAUUUAUGUUUCGCAUUAUCUUUCA